rnacentral:rRNA from 1 species
CAGCAGCCACGGUAAUACGUAGGUGGCAAGCGUUGUCCGGAAUUAUUGGGCGUAAAGGGCUCGCAGGCGGUUUCUUAAGUCUGAUGUGAAAGCCCCCGGCUCAACCGGGGAGGGUCAUUGGAAACUGGGAAACUUGAGUGCAGAAGAGGAGAGUGGAAUUCCACGUGUAGCGGUGAAAUGCGUAGAGAUGUGGAGGAACACCAGUGGCGAAGGCGACUCUCUGGUCUGUAACUGACGCUGAGGAGCGAAAGCGUGGGGAGCGAACAGGAUUAGAGACCCGCGUAGUCCCUGUCUCUUAUAC